rnacentral:tRNA from 1 species
UAAGAGUUAGUUUAAAUAAAGAAUUGUUGACUGUUAAUCAAAAGGUAUAUCUCUUAA